AAGGCCAAAUAAUCAGCAUAAAAUCUCAGUGAAUGAAAGAUCUGUUUGAGGUAGAACAGAUACAGGUCUUGUCUCCCUACCUGUAGUGCAAGUCACAAUGCUACAUCAAAGAAGUGAUAAAUGGAAAAAAAAAAAACAACCAAGGGCUGACUUGAAGUGAGAAAAUUCUUCUUCUUGCCAUUGAUCUCAUAUUGUUUUCUGUGGAGUUUCUGUUGUUGUUGUUGCUGCUAUUGUUUUUUUUCCUAAAUAGGUAGAAUUAAUCAAAACUUGAGCUUGAAAAUCAGACUUGAGCUUGAAAAUCA
ensembl:lncRNA